rnacentral:tRNA from 1 species
GCGAGAGUGGCGGAACUGGCAGACGCGCUAGACUUAGGAUCUAGUGCCUUCGGGUGUGGGGGUUCGACUCCCCCCUUUCGCACCA